UAUGCGAGCCGGACGGUCGCGGGAGGAUAGCUCCUCAUGAGGAAAGUCCGGGCUUCUUGAGGCAGGAUGCCGGCUAACGGCCGGGCGGGGAAACCCGACGGAAAGUGCUGAAGAAACUUAAACUCCCACUGGCGCGUUCGCGUUAAGAGAAAAGCUGAGAAGGUGCGGUAAGAGCGCACCAGCACGUUGGUAACAGCGUGGCUUAGGUAAACCC
rnacentral:RNase_P_RNA from 1 species